rnacentral:tRNA from 1 species
GAGGGUAUAGCUCAGUGGUAGAGAGUGUGCUUAGUAUGCACGAGGUCCUGGGUUUAAUCCUCCAUACCUCCA